rfam:Angiostrongylus costaricensis strain Costa Rica genome assembly, scaffold: ACOC_scaffold0002234
GCAGCGAUGUCCGAGUUGUUAAGGAGAUUGACUUGAAAUCAAUUGGGGUCUGCCUGCGUAGGUUCGAUUCCUGCUCGCUGCG